rnacentral:misc_RNA from 1 species
AACGCACCUUGCGCUCCCUGGUAUUCCGGGGAGCAUGCCUGUUCGAGUGUCAUUAAUCUCUCAAACCAAGUGGUUUCUUGUAAAUCGCCUUGGUUUGGAUUUGGACUUUGCUGUGACUCUUGAAGAGACAUAGCUGGUCUUAAAUGUAGUAGCUGGCCCAUUUGAAGGCUUGGUUCUACUUGGCGUGAUAAGUUAUCUGGCGUCAAGGACAUUCUCUAGGGAAUGGCCAACUUUUGUCUGGACUGCUUCUAAUUGUCUUAGGACAAAAAAUUAACUUAUUGACAUCUGACCUCGAAUCAGGUAGGACUACCCGCUGAACUUAA